AAAAUUGAUUCUUCGGAUGAUUUUUUAAUCUUUCUAGCGGCGGACGGGUGAGUAACGCGUGGGAAACCUGCCCUAUACAGGAGGAUAGCCUCGGGAAACCGGGAUUAAUACUCCAUGAAACUCUAGCACCGCAUGGUGCAUGAGUCAAAACUCCGGUGGUAUAGGAUGGUCCCGCGUCCCAUUAGCUAGUUGGUAAGGUAACUGCUUACCAAGGCAACGAUGGGUAGCCGGCCUGAGAGGGUGAUCGGCCACACUGGAACUGAGACACGGUCCAGACUCCUACGGGAGGCAGCAGUGGGGAAUAUUGCACAAUGGGGGAAACCCUGAUGCAGCGAUGCCGCGUGAGCGAUGAAGGUCUUCGGAUCGUAAAGCUCUGUCCUUAGGGAAGAAUUUUGACGGUACCUAAGGAGGAAGCCCCGGCUAACUACGUGCCAGCAGCCGCGGUAAUACGUAGGGGGCGAGCGUUGUCCGGAAUCACUGGGCGUAAAGGGAGCGUAGGCGGCUUUGUAAGUCAGAUGUUAAAGCCAUUGGCUUAACCAAUGUAAGCAUUUGAAACUACAAAGCUUGAGUACAGGAGAGGAGAGUGGAAUUCCUAGUGGAGCGGUGAAAUGCGUAGAUAUUAGGAGGAACACCAGUGGCGAAGGCGACUCUCUGGACUGUUACUGACGCUGAGGCUCGAAAGCGUGGGGAGCGAACAGGAUUAGAUACCCUGGUAGUCCACGCCGUAAACGAUGAGUGCUAGGUGUUGGGGCCGACAGGUUUCAGUGCCGCAGUUAACACAUUAAGCACUCCGCCUGGGGAGUACGAUCGCAAGAUUAAAACUCAAAGGAAUUGACGGGGGCCCGCACAAGCAGCGGAGCAUGUGGUUUAAUUCGAAGCAACGCGAAGAACCUUACCAGGACUUGAC
rnacentral:rRNA from 1 species